rnacentral:SRP_RNA from 1 species
GCUGGGCGUAGUGGCGUGCGCCUGUAAUCCCAGCUACUUGGGAGGCUGAGGCAGAAGAAUCGCUUGAGCCCAGGAGGCAGAGAUUGCAGUGAGCUGAGAUCAUGCCAUUGCACUUCAGCCUGGGCAACAGAGCAAGACUCCAUCUCAA